GUUUAAUUACGAAUACCUCAAAUCUUCCCACAUAGUCUCUAUCCAUAAUCCUCCAUCUAACCUUCAUGCUAACUUGUGAGUGGUGUGAUGUGGGAGUGUGUUUAGUAGUGAAUGCUGAUACCAGCAUGGUAGGAAGAGAACAGAAAGAUGUCAUCGAUUCUUGUUCAUCCCUUCUCUCUGCAACUCUUUUCAUGAGCCCAAUGCCCGGUGAAUGAAUGAGUGUGUGUGAGCGAGUGUAUGUUUAUCACAGUCCCUGUAUCAGGGAUGCAAACUCGUCACUUUUUGACGAUAUUUCCUGUUUUGAGCUUAAAAUAGGUAAUCCACGGGAAUCGUGUAGAUCCAUAAAAAUAACUUUUGUGGUGGUGGGGGCUCACAAAGUGCGUGGACGCAGUGUAUCACCUGUUGAACUAUAAAAGAGAGGUGCGAACGGAUCUUCUCCCUGUGUGAUCACCACCAGAGAUACUGGAUAUAGUGAUGAGAUGCUUGUGUCUCCGCCCUCAACAAUGGGAUUCGUUGUCCACAGAGCGGAACGGCGGGCUGUCAAGCUCCCGCCUGUUCUGCUCUUUUUAGGGAGGGAUAAUUCUUGGGCUGCUGCGUAGUCACAAUGGGAACUCUUUCUAGAGCACCCGGUUAAAUUGUGCAUAACAGUAGGGUGUUAGGUGACGUAACAAACAAUGAACGCUAUACGAUAAUUCUCCAAAAAAACACAGGCUAAUCAAAUCCAUUUAAAACUAAAUGUCAAUAAUGUGAUCAUCAAAAUACAUAGUAAAUAAUUUCAAAACACAAGCAUGUUUUAAGUCUAAAUGGUUAAUGUAGUGAGAAAUAUGUGAUUAUUGUAAAAGGUUGUGAGGUUGCAUCAUUUACUAUCAUCCUGAAUUAAAAUAUGGAAUCAUUUUUGCCGUAUUAAAUAAUUUUAUAUAUGCUAUUUUCCUUGAUGUGGACAAUGUGUGUUACUACAUUACACAAGCUCACGUUUUGAACACAUCAAAUUGGGGGAAUUACUCAUCCUUUUUACAUCAGAUUGGUGGUGAUAGUGUGAAAGUUUAUAGUCAUCGAUUUGUUGUAAAUGUUUCCUACCGCUUAUUUUGUGAUUUUACAUUUAUAUCGUGGAAUCAUACAUGCCAUCUCACAUUGUGGUACAUAGUGUAUUACAAUUUGAGGCAUUUGCAUGGCUAGGAAAGUGCAAAGAUAUUUAAUUAAAACAACUCAAUCUAUUUGUGUGCGCUUGUAUGUGUGUGGGAGGGGGGACACUGUAUGCUACUGACCUUGUAUUGACCUUAAUCCCCAAAUAACUGCCAGGUGUGUGUUUGAAGAGGGUGGUGGGGUGUCUGUGUUUACUUUUGUAUCUAUGUCACUGGCUUUCAUGAUCUGCUUUAAUGUCUGUAUUUUAUCCAAUGAGGUGCUCAAUGUGCCCCACUAAACUAAUGCACUGCCAGGGAUAGCUGUCACUUUGGUUUGUGGGAAGAAGAUGGCACACGGCAACAGUGCUAGUAUGGAGGUAGAUAGUAUGAAGGGUAGGGGAAGUCAGGAUUUUGCUAGUGCGUUUUGAUUUGUCUAUUGAAAGGCCAUGUAAGGUUAGUGUUGACUAAUGGCAUAAUGCUGGUGAGCCGGGCACAGCCAGGCUCGGGUGAUUGUCCCAUGGUCCUGAGUUUACAAAUCAGCAAAGGUACUGUAUCAGAUGUUGUUUUUGAGAAACUUGGUGGGUCACAGGUUGACAGGCUACCAGGUCCAACGCUCUGUAAGUGGGCUUACAUGGUUUUGUUGGCACAUGUUUCAUUGCAACGUGGUGAAGAAGAUCUGGUUGGAGAGCUGCACUACUGUCUGCUUCCCAUGUUGAAGGAGUACGUUAUGGUUUCCCAGGUGCGUAUUUUCACAUUUAAAGUGAAUUCUAAAUUCCUUUUGGAUAAAAAAAAAAAUGAUAUACUAGGCCUACUCUCUAGGUCUCAUCAGUUGGAAGGACAUAUAAGCAGAGCAUUUGCCCUUAACUGCAAACCAUCUCUCUGUGUGGUCAUAAAAUAGUCUAAUUUUCCUUUAACAUGCCAUAAUUAAUUUACAGGACAGCCAAACCCUUGUCCACAAGCUGCAUGACAAGCAGCUUGAAGUGAUCACCACUUUCAUGGCAUGCUUCCUCAAGGCUGAGCAUCACCACACCCAAGAAGCUCAUGGAGAUGGACUUCAUUGACAAGAUGCUUCCUUCCAGAGAAUUGUAUGUUGGACCAGUGUCUGAGAAACUUAAGACAGAACAUCCAGGACACCCUAUUUUGCAGAAGUUUCUUAACGCGGUGAAGACCGCAUACAUGACAACUGCAGCCUACAUGCAGAAGAAAAUGCCCCUGGACAGCAUGACCCUGCAAUUGCUCUCUGCACAGGACCCAGUGGUGAGAGGCCAUUCACAGACUGGCAUCCUGUUGAAGCGGCUUGCUAGGAUGAUGUUCCAUCCGGAUUUCAGCUUCCACUGGAAGUCGUGAAGUUUAAUGUGGACUCUACCCUUCCCCCUUACAAGGAUGGUCCAGGAGUCUGACUGUCUUACAGAUGUUCCAGAGAGAUGAUGUCAAGUGGAGCAAGGGACUCUAAGAACAUCCGCACUGCAGGAAUGAAGGAUAAAGCUCAGAGACAGGAGAACCUGAUGAAGAGGGAGGGGUAUGGUUGCCAGCCAACAUCCAGUGCCCAACAGACCAGGAAGACUGCAGUGGAGGAGGAGAAGCAGGCCAGACAGGACACAGCUAAACAAAGGAAAAGAGCAAAAUAAGUUUUAGUCGAAGCUAAAAGGAAGGAAGCUAAAAUGUGGACUGUAGGUGAGAGUAGGCUAGAUGUGAGUGAUAACCUGUUACUGUUUAUUUUGAGCUUCAAAAUAAAAUAAUU